rnacentral:rRNA from 1 species
UACAGAGACUGCAAGCGUUAUUCGGAUUCACUGGGCGUAAAGGGUGCGCAGGUGGUUGUGUGUGUCAGAUGUGAAAUCCCGGAGCUUAACUCCGGAACUGCGUCUGAAACUGCACGACUAGAGCAUUGGAGAGGGUAGUGGAAUUCACGGUGUAGCAGUGAAAUGCGUAGAUAUCGUGAGGAACACCAGAGGCGAAGGCGACUACCUGGACAAUUGCUGACACUCAGGCACGAAAGCAUGGGGAGCAGAAGGG